UAUUUCAAAGCCUGUUCUUAAGAUAUGUG
rnacentral:piRNA from 1 species